rnacentral:rRNA from 1 species
GUAACACGUAGUCAACCUGCCCUGGAGACAUGGACAACCCCGGGAAACUGGGAUUAAUCCGUGAUAGGUCAUCUCAUCUGGAAGGAGAGAUGGCUUAAAGGGAUGCGCGGGCUUCUUCUGCGUAUUUGCUCCAGGAUGGGACUGCGUCCGAUCAGGCUGUUGGCGGGGUAAUGGCCCACCAAGCCAGUAACCGGUACGGGCCUUGAGAGAGGUGGCCCGGAGAUGGACACUGAGAGAAGGGUCCAGGUCCUACGGGGCGCAGCAGGCGCGAAACCUUCGCAAUGCGCGCAAGCGUGACGAGGUUAAUCCGAGUGAUUUCCGCUGAGGAGACCUUUUGUCUGCUGUAAAUAGGCAGGCGAAUAAGGGGAGGGCAAGCCUGGUGUCAGCCGCCGCGGUAAUACCAGCUCCUCGAGUGGUCGGGGCGAUUAUUGGGCCUAAAGCAUCCGUAGCCGGUUCCGUAGGUCCUCUGUUAAAUCCAACCGCCCAACGGUUGACCUGCAGAGGAUACCGCGAGACU